CUGAAUGAAAACAAGACGAUGAAAAUGUAGCAAUAGACUGUCAACGAAGAUGAUACAUACGGUAGUAUGUACUCUCAUAAUUAUACUUUGAUAUAUUAUGCCUUGUUUCCUUUUCCUUUUUUUGAGGCUUUGGAAUGUUUA
rnacentral:ribozyme from 14 species